CGAGUGUUUUUCUUUCUUUUUUUUUUUUUCUUUACUUUUCUUUUUUUUUAUUUUUUUAUUUUUUAUUGGUGUUCAAUUUGCCAACAUAUAGAAUAACACCCAGUGCUCAUCCCAUCAAGGGCCCCCCUGGACUGGGUGUCGAGUGUUUUUCUAAGCAAGAAACUGCAGGCUCUGCCCUCAGCCCCGUGGCAGGCUCGCUGAAGGCAAUAAAAAGUAUCUCGGGAACCUGUCUGGGUAGCUGAGCUGCCUGGAACCAUGCCUGUGCUGGCUGGGGUAUGAAAUCGGUUCACACAGAUGAGGAAACUGAGAUCCAAAAGUGUUGUAUUCAACUGGGAAGUAGCAGAACCAGGAUUCACAGUGAGGCUGUCUGGUUUCGGAGCCCAGGCUCUACACACCCAAGCCAUCCUGCCAAAUGAGUUCUUCCCAUUAGCUCAUUUCAAGAUGCAAAUUCCAGUUUCUUCCCAUCAUCUCUCCUGGGAGAGGACUCCCUUUGGAUGGGUCAGGCAGGACGCGUGUAAGGGAGAAGACGCCCCUUGAGGAGGUCCUGCCGGAGGGACAUAGAGCAUCCCUGGGCUCUCCUUUUCAACUGGCUCGAGACCUGGAAGUGUCCUGCACACCUUUCUUCUUUCUUUGGCUGCUGCUGUUCAAAUACCUGAAGAGCCAGGAGAUGCCAGGCCAGGGGAGGGCAAAGCUAGUCUAAGGGCACCAAAGUGAAUCACAGAAGUGGGAAGAACGAGAGACCAUCUCUGGCGCCCUCCCACCUUGGACACAGCAGGCUCUAGCCCUGGAAGGCAGACUGGCAGGACUGUGCAGCCUCGGAGGGCAGGAACAAUCAGAGAACUCAUUGCUUUACCCCACUGAGCCCCAACACUGCUCCAGGAACAGCGAUGAGUGUUUGAUACGUGGCUACCGGAAUGAAGGGAUGAAAGCAUGAGUGAAUGGAUUUCAAGUGUGGAAAGGAACUUGGGGCCUUGAUGAUUUUCCUCACUCGGACCCUGAAUCUCUUUAAAACUUACAGUGAAAUAGUUAUCAAACUGGUGUCUAAAUCCCUAUAGAGCCAGGAAAGCUGUCACCUGUUCAUCAUACUACUGAACAUAUCACUUUGCACACUGCAGUCUCUGGUCCUAGUUGAUCAUUCCAGGGAAGCAUGAAGGACACAUUUCAUUUCUCCCAAGUCAUCCCCCUGCGGAGACUUGACAGGCUUUGCUUUGUUGUGACCCCUGACUGCCUUUUCUUCUCCAGGGCGGGUUUUUCUCAUCCUUUGUUCACUCAGGAAAUAUUCACCAAGUUCCUAGUGUCAGGCCCUGGGAUGCAUCCUAGGUCAACAAGAAUGGACAUGCACAGCACGGCCUCUGCUCUCAGAGAGGAGCUUCUAUUUUAGUAGCAAAGACAGACAAUGAGGAGGUAGACAGCUAGGUAGUGAGAUUUAAUGAGUCCUAUGAUCUCCAUUUUUCAGGUGGAAAAACUAAGACUUAGCCUACAUGCCCUGUCCUAGAUCAAACAUCUCUUUUUGAGGUAGAUGGGACUCACGUUUUUAUGCCCAUAAACCACAUUGGGAAUAUAGACCAAGUGGUAGGUUCUGUUCUAGGACCAUUUAUUUCUAUGUUGUCCACAAGUUCUUUAUCUCUCACUUUAACCAACAGCAAACCAAACCCUUCCUUUAAAGUUUAACCUAGUUAUCUGCGUUGCUAAAGGUUUCCCAGAACCUGUCCUAUCUAAAGCAUCUGUAUCACACAGCAUUUCAAGACUCUAAACCAUCUUAGAAAAGCACAGCGAGCUAAUCCAGGGCCCCCUAUUUCCUUUCUACCAGGGAUUACACCCUCUGUGGUCCUUCGGCCUUAUCUAAGUCACUGACAACUGAGAGUUGUUGUUGGCAUGAUUAUCUAUAAAACUUUCUCUUUUCAGUAUUUGGGAAGACCCACGGACCCCCACCUGUCUUUUUCUUUCUUCACACCUCCUUCCCUUUUAUUCCCUGCCGUGUCCUGAAGGCAUUUCAGUUUGGGAUCCAGUCUGACUCAGAAAUGUCUUUCCAGAUAUACCUUGUUCCUUUUUUUUUUUUUUUUUUGAUACACAUAACAUUUACUAUCUCAACCAUUUUAAAGUGGACAAUUCAGUGGCAUUUAAUCAUCCAUAAUGUUGUACAAUCAUCAUCACUAUGUGGUUCCAGAACAUUUUCGUCACUCCAAAAGGAGACCUUGUACCCAUUUGGCAGUCACUCCUCAGUUCCCCAACCACCAGCCUGCAGCGACUACCAAUCUGCUUUCUGCCUCUAUACGUAUAACUUGCCUGUUCUGGCUAUUUUAGAUAAAUGGAAUAAUACAACACCUGGCCUUUUACCACUGGCUUCUUCAUUUAGCCCUGUGUUUCCAAGGUUCAUCCACAGGGCUCCAUUCUUGUCUAUAGCUGAAUAAUCAUCUGUUGUAUGGCUACACUGCAUUUUGUCCCUUCAAAUGAAAACGGACAUUGGGUGGUUCCCAUCUUCUGGCUAUUGUGACUGGUGCUGCCAUGAACAUGCAUACUCAAGUCUGAACAUACAAUUUUAUUUUAUUUUUUAUUUUUUAAAGAUUAUACUUAUUUAUGCAUGAGAGACACAGAGACAGGCAGAGACACAGGCAGAGGGAGGAGAAGCAGGCUCCAUGCAGGAGCCCGAUGUGGGACUUGAUCCCAGAACUCUGGGCUCACGUCCUGUGCCGAAGGUCAACGCUCAACUGCUGAGCCACAUCCAAUUUUAAUUCUCUUGGGUAUGGGGCACCUGGGUGGCUCAGCUGGUUAAGCACCUGCCUUCAGUUUCAGGUCAUGAUC